rnacentral:Y_RNA from 1 species
GGCUGUCCGAAGGUAGUGAGUUGUCUCAAUUGAUUAUUCACAGUCAGUUACAGAUUGAACUCCUUGUUCUACACUUUUCCCUCCUUCUCACUACUAUACUUGUCUAGUCUUAA